ensembl:lncRNA
AAAAAAAUGCAAUGUUUGAAAAGAGCGCAAUAGUUUGAUAGAUGAUUUAAACUGUGUGACUUGAAUAGAAAUGAUAAAACGGCUUGCUAGGUGGGGGGCAAAGAGCACAAAGGGGAGAGGUAUUCUAAACCAUCAAUCUUAGCGCCGCAGAGUAACGAAUUAUUUGGGUCUGAAUAUAUUAAUUUGGCAACAGACUCUCUCAGAAAUAAACCCAAAUCGCUAACUAGUAAAGUUACGAAAUAAAACUAUCAGGGCCAAAAAGGAAACUUAACACCGUGACUUGGACAUGACUUUGGAAUGGCUGUUGGAACGCCCGUAAAGCCCUAAAACAUGCAGAAUUCCAGUAGCCUUUAUGUAGCUGCCUGGACAAUUGAGAGACAUUAAUGUGUAGCUACGCCACAGUCUCACCAUCCCUCCAAUCUCUUUCUAGAUCCUGUCGCCUCCAUGUAGCGAGACUGAAAAGGUACUUUAUUGAAGUUUGGGAUCAACCGCGAGAAGGCCGAGUUCAGUCGGAGGGCACAUUUUCUGUCCCAUUAGGUCCGUUUCAGCCGGGAUGGCCGACCUUUGCAACCCCCCGUGACCUGACUGGGUCUCUAUACUUGUACCUUCUGUGUGUGCCCUCGUAGGUCGUCCCCGGUCCUUGCGUGGCCUCGUCAGGGCUCUGGACUUUCUUUGUGUGUUUUUCUACUUGAGGGGCCGGUAGAAGGGCACCUCUGAAUGUGUUGCUCUUUUGUUGCUCUCAGUGGUGACCCGAGAGUGCGGUGAACUGUCGGUCACUUCUCUUCCAUUGUGCGCCCUGUAGGACCUAGACCCUUUGUAGGACAUCCUACAAAUUUGAGGGACUUCCAAGCGGUUACUUCGGAGCUUAUGAUCGGUCUGCAUGUUAAGAAGAAAUAAACGCGUAUUGCUAUGCUGCCUGAAGAAUCGGAGCGGGUUCCUCGGGCGUCAUUAAGUUCCUUUCAGACUAUUGGAGGAUACCUGUGAUUCAGUGUGCUGUCAUAACGAGGCUGGUGGUCUCCUAAGUAGAGGAAGAGAUGGAAAAAGAUACAGAGACGGAGGGAGAGACGGAGGGAGAGACGGAGGGAGGCGAGAGCAAGAGCGUUCACCAGCACCCAGCUAGUGUUACUAGAGAAGGAGUUCCACUUCAGGCCCUACCUGUGUCCACCCCGCAGGCUGGAGAUGGCUGCAGGCCUGAGGCUCACCGAUCGGCAGAUCAAGAUCUGAUUCCAGAACCGACGCAUGAAACACGAGAAGGACCAUAAGGAGGACAGUGUCAUAGAGACUGAGACGCCAAAACAUCCUUCUCUACCACCACACACGUUGUCCUCCCUCAGUCCAAGGUUCUCUAUUGGUGUUGGGUACUCAGUUCUUGUCUGGUGAGAGCGCCUAGAUCUCCAACCCUCCUCUUCAUAGAUUAAGAUCGUGCCCCUGCUCUGGUUGAUUUUAACAGUAGAAAUGACAGUGAAUGUUUUUGUGUUUCCUCCAUGGAUCUUCCCCCAUCUCACCACCAUACCUGCACCUGUCUCUUACUGUUGGAGACAGCAGUUGUUUGACCACAGGUCUCUCAGAACCUUCCCCAUGGCACAAUGAUGCACACCUAUUUUAUGACAUCAGUGCACGCUUCAAACGUCACGGCUUCCCCCUAGAACCUCCUACUCACCCUUGAGAGUAGGGCACAACCCUAACACCUACAGUGAGGGAAAAAAGUAUUUGAUCCCCUGCUGAUUUUGUAUGUUUUCCCACUGACAAAGAAAUGAUCAGUCUAUAAUUGUAAUGGUAUGUAUAUUUGAACAGUGAGAGACAGAAUAACAACAACAAAAAUCCAGAAAAACACGUCAAAAAAGUUUUAAAUUGAUUUGUAUUUUAAUGAGGGAAAUAAGUAUUUGACUCCUCUGCAAAACAUGACUUAGUACUUGGUGGCAAAACCCUUGUUGGCAAUCACAGAGGUCAGACGUUUCUUGUAGUUGGCCACCAGGUUUGCACACAUCUCAGGAGGGAUUUUGUCCCACUCCUCUUUGCAGAUCUUCUUCAAGUCCUUAAGGUUUCGAGGCUGACGUUUGGCAACUCGAACCUUCAGCUCCCUCCACAGAUUUUCUAUGGGAUUAAGUUCUGGAGACUGGCUAGGCCACUCCAGGACCUUAUUGUGCUUCUUCUUGAGCCACUCCUUUGCUGCCUUGGCCGUGUGUUUUGGGUCAUUGUCAUGCUGGAAUACCCAUCCACGACCCAUUUUCAAUGCCCUGGCUGAGGGAAGGAGGUUCUCACCCAAGAAUUGACGGUACAUGGCCCCGUCCAUCGUCCUUUUGAUGCGGUGAAGUUGUCCUGUCCCCUUAGCAGAAAAACACCCCCAAAGCAUAAUGUUUCCACCUCCAUGUUUGACGGUGGGGAUGGUGUUCUUGGGGUCAUAGGCAGCAUUCCUCCUCCUCCAAACACGGCGAGUUGAGUUGAUGCCAAAGAGUUCCAUUUUGGUUUCAUUUGACCACAACACUUUCACCCAGUUGUCUUCUGAAUCAUUCAGAUGUUCAUUGGCAAACUUCAGACGGGCAUGUAUAUGUGCUUUCUUGAGCAGGGGGACCUUGCGGGCGCUGCAGGAUUUCAGUCCUUCACAGGACUACCAAUUGUUUUCUUGGUGACUAUGGACUCAGCUGCCUCGAGAUCAUUGACAAGAUCCUCCCGUGUAGUUCUGGGCUGAUUCCUCACCGUUCUCAUGAUCAUUGCAACUCCACGAGGUGAGAUCUUGCAUGGAGCGCCAGGCCGAGGGAGAUGGACAGUUCUUUUGUGUUUCCUCCAAUUGCUAAUAAUUGCACCAACUGUUGUCACCUUCUCACCAAGCUGAUUGGCGAUGGUCUUGUAGCCCAUUCCAGCCUUGUGUAGGUCUACAAUCUUGUCCCUGACAUCCUUGGAGAGCUCUUUGGUCUUGGCCAUGGUGGAGAGUUUGGAAUCUGAUUGAUUGAUUGCUUCUGUGGACAGGUGUCUUUUAUACAGGUAACAAGCUGAGAUUAGGAGCACUCCCUCAGUUCAUUACCUGUAUAAAAGACACCUGGGAGCCAGAAAUCUUUCUGAUUGAGAGGGGGUCAAAUACUUAUUUCCCUCAUUAAAAUGCAAAUCAAUUUAUAACAUUUUUGACAUGCGUUUUUAUUUAAUGUAUUUAUUUUAUCCUGUCUCUCACUGUUCAAAUAAACCUACCAUUAAAAUUAUAGACUGAUUACUUCUUUGUCAGUGGGAAAACGUACAAAAUCAGCAGGAGAUCAAUUACUUUUUUCCCUCACUGUAGAUCGUGAGUCGAAGGGCUCAAUUCAAUCAAACCAGCCCUGCAGACGUUACCUUUCAUUCAACAUUUUGAUAGCGGCUUCCUGAACAAGGAAUAAUUAUUACCUGUAGGUUAUCCUGAGUAUCACUAGGACUAGGUUUCUAUUCCAAAGCAACCACCACUGCCCCCUCUGUUGCUAUUCUAUUAUACCUUGUGGCAGAUGUAAGGCAUGAUGUACUGUACAUAGCCUACCAGUAAUCUUUUGGCAUAAUUGACCUGAUUUAGCUUAUAGCAAUAAACUCCUCAAAUACCUUCUACUGGUAUUACUGUACUGUUUUGCAUGAUGAAUGCAUGUUUUGAAUACAUUAUUAAUCUGUGUCAGAUAAUGUAUCAGAUAAUUGACUUGUGGUUGUCAUCUCUGUAAAUCGUAGAGAAAAUAAUUUUACUUUGCUAUAGUUGUUAGAUGUUAUGUUCUGAUCGUGUAAGUAACAUAAUUUACUAGCCAUCAAUUUAGUAUUUUCAAGACCUCCUCCUGUGUCAAAUACAUGUGGCUGUUGUAUCCGUAGAUCAGAGGGAGAGACUUGACUUUGGCUGUAGGUGUCAUGUGUUAAGUCUUGUUUCAUGUGUUCUUAUCAUGUUCAUAGCUGCUCAUAUGUGUAAGUUGUUUACAUGUGUAAGUUGUUAAGGCUAAGUGUGAAAACAGAAGCAAGCAUAUGUUCAUACUGAACAAAGUUCUAUUUUGUUAUGUAUGUAUUAUGUAAACUAAAAUCAGUUUUUGAUACUGUUCUUGAUUAUUUGAGAUGUUUAAUAAAUGCAUUUGUGUAAAAUCAA